ACUGCCCGGUGCCAGCGCUCGGCUUCGGUGGAUUCUCCCGGGUCUGGGCUCACGUCUCCUCUGCGCGCCUUGUGCUCCCCUAUCCCGCAGAUACGCAGGCUUCUGGAGACCCUGGGUGGACGCCGGAGGCAAGAAAGAAGAGGAGACGCCGAACCACGCCGCGGAGGCGGUGAGUGAGCCACGCGUCUCAGGCCGCGCCUCCCACGGGUGCAGAAGAUCGACCAGGGCUCUCGGGACGCAGGGCCUGAGAGAGACAUGCGAGACACCGGGUCCUGCCUCUCGCUUAACAUCCCGCCUGCCGGUGGCCAUAAAGGUGCCGACGCGGCGGAUGUGUCCUCUGGAGCGAUGGGCCACAGGCACCCAGCCGGGAGCGAGGCUGCUGAGAGCCCUGGGGUUACAUUCCCAGCGGGCACGAGGAACACUGGGUCGUGCACGUUUCCACUUUCUAGAAGGAGGUACCUUUAAAACAGGGCAGAAGCCUUAUGGAUUGGAUUCGACUGACCAAAAGUGGAAAGGAUCUAACGGGAUUAAAAGGCAGGUUAAUUGAAGUAACUGAAGAAGAACUUAAGAAACACAACAAAAAAGAUGAUUGUUGGAUAUGCAUAAGAGGUUUCGUUUAUAAUGUCAGCCCUUAUAUGGAGUAUCAUCCUGGUGGAGAAGAUGAACUAAUGAGAGCAGCAGGAUCAGAUGGUACUGAACUUUUUGAUCAGGUUCAUCGUUGGGUCAAUUAUGAAUCCAUGCUGAAAGAAUGCCUGGUUGGCAGAAUGGCCAUUAAACCUGCUGUUCUGAAAGACUAUCGUGAGGAGGAAAAGAAAGUCUUAAAUGGCAUGCUUCCCAAGAGCCAAGUGACAGAUACACUUGCCAAAGAAGGUCCUAGUUAUCCAAGCUAUGAUUGGUUCCAAACAGACUCUUUAGUCACCAUUGCCAUAUAUACUAAACAGAAGGAUAUCAAUUUAGACUCAAUAAUAGUUGAUCAUCAGAAUGAUUCCUUUAGAGCAGAAACAAUUAUUAAGGAUUGUUUAUAUCUUAUACAUAUUGGGCUAAGCCAUGAGGUUCAGGAAGAUUUUUCUGUGCGGGUUGUUGAGAGUGUGGGAAAAAUAGAGAUUGUUCUACAAAAAAAAGAGAAUACUUCUUGGGACUUUCUUGGCCAUCCCCUGAAGAAUCAUAAUUCACUUAUUCCAAGGAAAGAUACAGGUUUGUACUACAGAAAGUGCCAGUUAAUUUCCAAGGAAGAUGUUACUCAUGAUACGAGGCUUUUCUGUUUGAUGCUGCCACCAAGCACUCAUCUUCAAGUGCCCAUUGGGCAACAUGUUUACCUCAAGCUACCUAUUACAGGUACAGAAAUAGUAAAGCCAUAUACACCUGUAUCUGGUUCCUUACUCUCAGAGUUCAAGGAACCAGUUCUUCCCAACAAUAAAUACAUCUACUUUUUGAUAAAAAUCUAUCCCACUGGACUCUUCACACCAGAGCUUGAUCGUCUUCAGAUUGGAGAUUUUGUUUCUGUAAGCAGUCCUGAGGGCAAUUUUAAAAUAUCCAAGUUCCAAGAAUUAGAAGAUCUCUUUUUGUUGGCAGCUGGAACAGGCUUCACACCAAUGGUUAAAAUACUGAAUUAUGCUUUGACUGAUAUACCCAGUCUCAGGAAAGUGAAGCUGAUGUUCUUCAAUAAAACAGAAGAUGAUAUAAUUUGGAGAAGCCAAUUGGAGAAAUUAGCAUUUAAAGAUAAAAGACUGGAUGUUGAAUUUGUUCUCUCAGCACCUAUUUCUGAAUGGAAUGGCAAACAGGGACAUAUUUCACCAGCUCUUCUUUCUGAAUUUUUGAAAAGAAAUUUGGACAAAUCCAAAGUUCUCGUCUGCAUUUGUGGACCAGUGCCAUUUACAGAACAAGGAGUAAGGUUGCUGCAUGAUCUCAACUUUUCCAAAAAUGAGAUCCAUAGUUUUACAGCAUAAUGAAGAGCUGUCAUUGUCCUUUAUUCAACUAGUUUAUCUAAAUUUGUGAUUGCUUAGGGUUUUUUAAGAGAACAUUUUUGUACAUAACAAAAGGUUAACUAGAAUCCAGCCUUCAGUUUCUUAAAUGAAAUCAAAUGUUCCUUCAGUACAGGUAACUUCUUGGCUUUCUUUUGUACCACAACUUAUUUUACUACUGAUAUUUGACCUGGAAAGUUAAUCAUGGCAACAAAUACAUACAGGAUUCUUUGUUAUGAAUCACAAAUUUCCUUGCCAUUUAAAUUAUAUCACUGUUCUACAAUAAGCACUUGUGUUUUAUGACAUGAUAAAGUAAAUGAUCACUUCGAUCAUGUUUCUAUGCUGUAAAAUGUCUUAUUAGCAAUACAGAUUAAAUUUUACCUUGCACUGUUAACUCAGGAAAUGAUCAUUUAUGUCCUUGUUAUUAAUGUUAAAACAUAGAAUGUUAUAACUUAUUAAGUGAUCCAAACAUUUUUUUGUGUGUGUAUGGCAUUGAUGCAGAAUAGAAUAAAAUUAUACUUAAGUUCUUUUUAAUCCUUGUGGUAGAAAUGUGGUUGAAUGCAACAAUAUUGGGCCAGCGUCUCAAGGGGAAUUUUAAAAGGCAGCAAUAAAAUAUAUUAGAGACAUGACACACAUGCGCCUUUGGACUAGGUGUGUUAACAGAGCUUGAGAGAGGGAACCUUGACAGCUAUUUUUACUCUUAGCCAAAAACAAAGACAUUAGGAAAGAGAGUGAAAGUAUAGUGUCUAGUUCCACAGCAUAAAGUUAUUAUUUGGUGCUUUGGAAUGGGUUGAAUUUUAAUUCUUUAGUCCAUCUAAAUCAGCUGGAAAAAUGAGGAACAUUCUGCCUUGAAUGGUUCUUCCCCUGGUUGGCUGCUUUCUCCACAACUGGUGGUUCAGCAGGAAGCCCUCUUAGGUUCUUGCAUGUGGGCAACUUAUUUUCUCUUCCUGCUGCUUUGUGCAACUGUCAAAUACUUUCACAGAUUCAGAUCAGCAAAGGGUAUCAAGGAUAGUCAUUGUGAGCUUUUCGUGAGGAAACUGUUGAAUGCAUAGGUAGCUACUGUAUAAGCUAACUAGGAUUUUUCAGUCUUAGUACAGCUGCAAUGUUUUCACAGAAAUAGGGGAUUGAAAGAGUCUCCAAUUUCUCUGUAAAUGAUUUUGUAAACAGCUAAAUCUUUGCUGAAUGAAUAAUAUACUCAAGAGGAACACAAUAUUAAUAUUCCCCAAAUUACAGACGCCCAGCUUGUGAAGCUUCCUAUGUGCAAAUGGCUGGUUGAACACUAUCACUUUUUCCUGUGCCUCUGUCUUCUGUAGCCAAUUCCACCAUCAUCAUUAUUCACAAAGACAGGAAUCUAGCUGUCCUGGACUGGUACUGUUCCCUGGUAGGUAACAAGAACUUUUUCUAGCUUCAUGCCUUCCCCCUACUUAUUUUUUUCCAUCUAAGGGUGAGGUGAUUUGGCUCUGUGUCCUCACCCAAAUCUCCUCUCAAAUUGUAAUUCCCACAUGUCGAGGGAGGGUCUUGGUGGGAGGUGAUUGGAUCAUGGGAGUGAUUGCCCCCAUGCUGUUCUCAUGAUGGUAAGUGAGUUCUCAUGAGAUCUGAUGGUUUAAAAGUGUGGCACUUCCUCCCCACCUCCUGCUGUAUUAUGAAGAAGGUCCUUGCUUCUUCUUUGCUUUCUACCAUAAUUGUACAUUUCCUGAGGCCUCCCCAGCCAUGCAGAACUGUGAGUCAAUUAAACCUCUUUUCUUCAUAAAUUACCCAGUCUCAGGUAGUUCUUUAUAGCAGUGUGAAAAUAGACUAAUAUAAAAAGAGACUAUUUACCACUUUUUUUUAGUUCAUUUGCGAUGUAUCAAAUCUAACUUAGCCAACAUCUUUCUCAUCUUUUCUAAGCCUCUUCUUUUUUCUCUCUCCUUUCCCAAGCAACAGAAUCUCCUAUUAGUCGCUAUAUGUAAUGCUUCCUCAUUCCUCCUUUUAUGUUUUAUAUUUUUGUUUAUAUUUUAUUUAUAUUUUGUUUAUAUUUUGUUAUAUUUUAUUAUAUUUUGUUAUAUUUAUAUUUUGUUUAUAUUUUAAAACAAAUCCAUAAGUGUCUCCUGGGUAAUCUCCACUGACAUGAUUUUAUCAACUUACAUGUUAAUUCCCAAAUGGGAGUGACUAAUUUGAGAAUCAGCUGAGCUUCAGUUUUCAAUAUCCAUUUACUUCCUGCAUACCACCCCACCAUCCACCUAGUAAGCCAUUCUAGAACUAUUAGGAAUCAACAUCAAUGUCCCCUUCUCCAGUCUGACUCUUCCAUACCAGCUAACCCUGUCCUAUCAUCCCUCAGCUGGAUUAGUACAGUAGCUUGAUAAUUCAUCUUCAUGCUGCAGUCCUGAUCUCCUAAAAUUCAUUCUCCAUUCCAGGGUAUUCUAGAAGGACUUGGAGGAAAAAAUCCCCUAAGUAGAGCCUCAGUCUUCCAAUGAAUGCAACCAAAUACUGAGGAGCACAGAUAGGAGUAUAGUUUAUCACUGUUAUUCUCAAGCAAAUAACUCAAAGACUCCUACAUCACAUAUUUGCAGUGAAGAAGAAUUACGCUCAAAGUCACAUUUGCUUGCAAAUUCUGCUUUUUUUAAAAAAAAGUUUAUUAAUUUUCUAUUGCUGCUAGAUCAAAUUACUACAAACUUAGUAGCUUAAAACAACACCCAUUUAUUAUCUCACAGUUCCAUGGCACAGAAAUCUAGGCACAAUAUGGCUCAACUGGGUCCUCUGCUUAAAGCCUCACAAGGCUGUAAUCAGAUUGUCAGCUGAGCUGGGCUCUUAGCUAGAGGCUGUAAGGGGAAGUCCCUAGAUAAGAGUUCUUUCAGCCUCAUUAGGUAGAUUUCAGUUCCUUGCAGUUGUAGGACUGAGUUCCCCAUUUCCUUGCUAGCUGUUAGCUGUGGGCUAGUCUUUGUUUCUAGAAUUUGCCCACAUUCCUUCUCAUACUUUCUGUGUGGCCCUCUUCAGCAUUAGUGGAUGAAUCUCAUGCUUUCAGUCUCUCUGAAUUCCCUUGUGGGCUUCUUCAGCAUUGGUAGAUGAAUCUUAUGCUUUCAAUCUCUCUGAAUUCCCUUUCUGCCAUAUCUUUCUUGCCCUAGCAAGAGUUCACUGCUUUUAAGAUCUCAUGUGGUUAGAUUGGACCUAUCCAGAUAUCCAGGGUAAUCUUCCUAUUUUAAAAAUCUAUAAUUUUAAUUAUAGCUGUAAAGUCCCUUUUCCUAUAUAAUAUAUUCAAAGGUUGCAGGCAUUUGGGUGUUGACAUCUUUGAUGGGCACAUUGUGUCUACCACAGGCUAUAGAAAGAACAGAGAAAUUUGUCCAAGAUAAGAUGAUUAGGUUUUGUCUAGAUAGGGGCCCUUGCUAUGGGCCCUCAGUUUUUACCUUAAUGUAACAGAACAUGAGAGGAGCUUUGACACCCACCCCAAAAGAGUCAACUUCAUUAUGCUGGCAAAGGCAUGGGUACAACCUGCUCUGUGAUCUACCUUCUGAACCACACAAGCUUGUCCUGAACGAGGUUGGGGCUGAGUCUGUUGAUAACAGACCCCCAUUUUUGGGCAGAAAAAACAGAUUCUGUAUGAUCUACAGUAUUUAACAUUGUGGCAAAUAAAUUAUAAAGGAAAAAUGGAAUCUCAAGUAGUUACAGUCUCUUGGUGUCUUUCAACAUUGGUUUUAUUUUGAAGUCAUUUUCACCCAGCAUUGCAAGUUUAGCAGACCUCAAAACAGAAUGCCAAAGUGAUCUUAAAAUUCAAAAAUGAGUUUACUUUCUUUGUUAAAGUUCUCUUUUGAUGCAUAUCCCCCAUUCAUGGAAUGGAAGCAUUAUCUUGGGUGCAGCAUUACACGUAGAGUUAAAAUGUGGAAACAACCCAAACAUCCUGAUAUGGUUUGGCUCUGUGUCACCACCCAAAUCUCAUCUUGAAUUGUACUCUCAUAAUUCCCAUGUGUUGUGGGAGGAACCCAGUGGGAGAUAAUUUGAAUCAUGGGGGCAGUUUCCCUCAUACUGUUCUCAUGGUAGUGAAUAACUCUCACAAGACCUGGUGGUUUUAUCAGGGGUUUCCGCUUUUGCAUCUUACUCAUUUUCUCUUGCGGCCGCCAUGUAAGAAGUGCCUUUCACCUCCUGCCAUGAUUCUGAGGCCUCCCCAGCCAUGUGGAACUGUAAGUCCAAUUAAACCCCUUUUUUUCCCCAGUCUCAGGUACGUCUUUUAUCAGCAGCGUGAAAAUGGACUAAUACAGUAAAUUGGUACCAGUAGAGCAGGUGUUGCUGCAAAGAUACCGGGAAAUGUGGAAGCAACUUUGGAACUUGGUAACAGGCAGAGAUUGGAACAGUUUGGAGGGCUCAGAAGAAGACAGGAAAAUGGGAAAGUUUGGAACUUCCUUGAGACUUGUUGAAUGGCUUUGACAAAAAUACUGAUAAUGAUAUGGACAAUGAAAUCUAGACUGAGGUGGUCUCAGGUGGAGAUGAGGAACCUGUUGAGAACUGGAGCAAAGGUGACUCUUGUUAUGAUUUAGCAAAGAGACUGGCGGCAUUUUGCCCCUGCCCUGGAGAUUUGUGGAACUCUGAACUUGAGAGAGAUGAUUAAGGGUAUCUGGUGGAAGAAAUUUCUAAGCAGCAAAGCAUUCAAGAGGUGACUCAAGUGUUGUUAAAGGCAUUCAGUUUUAAAAGGGAAGCAGAGCAUUAAAAUUCAGAAAAUUAGCAGCUUGACAAUGCGAUAGAAAAGAAAAUCCUAUUUUCUGAGGAGAAAUUCAAGCUGGCUGUAGAUAUUUGCAUAAGUAACAAGGAACUGAAUGUUAAUUUCCAAGACAAUGGGGAAAAUGUCUCCAGGGCAUGUCAGAGACAUUUGUGGCAGCCUCUUCUAUCACAGACCUGGAGGUCUAGGAAGAAAAAAUGGUAAAAAUGGUUUUGUGGGCAAGGCCUAGGGUCCUUGUGCUGUGUGCAGUCUAAGGACUUGGUGCCCUGUUUCCUAGCCACUCCGGCCAUGGCUGAAAGGGGCCAACAUGAAGCUCAGGCCAUGGCUUCAGAGGGUGAAAGCCUUAAGCCUUGGCAACUUCCAUGUGAUGUUGAGCAUGUGGGUGCACAGAAGUCAAGAAAUGGGGUUUGGGAACCUCUGUCUAGAUUUCAGAAGAUGUAUGGAAAUGCCUGGAUGCCCAGGCAGAAGUUUGCUGCAGGGGCGGGGCUCUCAUGGAGAACCUCGGCUAGGGCAGUGCAGAAGGGAAAUGUGGGGUUGGAGCCCCCUCACAGAGUCCCUACUGGGACACCGCCUAGUGGAGCUGUGAGAAGAGGACCACUGUCCUCCAGACCCCAGAAUGGUAGAUCGACUUACAGCUUGUACCAGGUGCCUGGAAAAGCUGCAGAUACUCAACACCAGCCCAUGAAAGCAGCCAGGAUGGAGGCUGUACCCUGAAAGCCACAGGGCCAGAGCUGCCCAAGACCAUGGGAAGCCACCUCUUGCAUCAGCGUGACCUGGAUGUGAGACCUGGAGUAAAAGGAGAUCAUUUUGGAGCUUUAAAAUUUGACUGCCCCACUGGAUUUUGGACUUCCAUGGGCCCUGUAACCCCUUUGUUUUGGCCAAUUUCUCCCAUUUGGAAUGGCUGUAUUUACCCAAUACCUGUACCCUCAUUGUAUCUAGGAAGUAACUAGCUUGCUUUUGAUUUUACAGGCUCAUAAGUGGAAGGGACUUGCCUUGUCUCAGAUGAGACUUUUGAACUGUGGACUUUUGGGUUAAUGCUGAAAUGAUUUAAGACUUUGGGGUACUGUUGGGAAUGCAUGAUUGGUUUUGAAAUGUGAGGACAUAAGAUUUGGAGGAGCCAGGGGUGGGAUGAUAUGGUUUGGCUCUGUGUCCCCACCCAAAUUUCAUCUUGAAUUAUACUCCCAUAAUUCCCAUGUGUUAUACGUGGGACCUGGUGGGAGAUAAUUUGAAUCAUGGGGGUGGUUUCCCCCAUACUGUUCUCAUGGUAGAGAAUAAGUCUCAUGAGAUCUGAUGGUUUCAUCAGGGGGUUCCGCUUUUGCAUCUUACUCAUUUCUCUUGCUGCCACCCUGUAAGAAGUAUUUUUAACCUACCGCCAUGAUUCUGAGGCCUCCCCAGCCAUGUGGAACUAUAAGUCCAAUUAAACCUCUUUUUCUUGGCUUAAUUUCUUGGGUAUGUCUUUAUCAGCAGUGAUUCUAUUCCUAUGAAAUGUCUAGAACAGGAAAAUCUAUGAGACAUAAAGUAAUUAAGUGGCUGUUCAGGGGAUACAGGAAUAGGGGAUAAUAACUAAAGGGUUGGGAGGGUGUUUUUGAAAUGCUAAAAUAUUCUGAAGUUUACUGUGGUUAUGGUUGCACAUACUUAUGAAUAUACCUAAAAAUGUUGAAUUGUACAUUUUAAGUAGAUGAAUUGUAUCUAAUUUGAACCAUAUCUCAGUAAAGAUAUAAAAAUGUUUUUGGGUACUAAGACUAAACUAGAAAGAACAUAAGAGGAAAUACAUAUUAUAUAAGAAGAAAAGAGUAAAAAUAAAUCUUUAAAAAAAUAAAAAUAAAAAGGAGGCCUGUGUGCGGUGGCUCAUGCCUGUAAUCCCAGCACUUUGGGAGGCCGAGGCGGGUGGAUCACCUGAGGUCGGGAGUUUGAGACCAGCCUGACCAACAUGGAGAAACCCUCUCUCUACUAAAAAUACAAAAUUAGCCAGGUGUGGUAGCAUAGGCCUGUAAUCCCUGCUACUUGGGAGGCUGAGGCAGGAUAAUUGCCUGAACCCGGGAGGCGGAGGUUGCGGUGAGCCGAGAUUGCACCUUUGCACUCCAGCCUGGGCAACAAGAGUGAAACUCCAUCUCAAAAAAUAAAACAAAUAAAAAGGAUUCUAGAGGAAGUGGUAAAUAGUGAAGAUAGGCAAAGAAUAUCCAACAUAUGAAUAAUAGUAGUCCUUGAAGACAAAAAUCAAAGGAAAAGAAUACUAAAAACUCUACUUAAUGAAAAAUCAUCCUGAAAUUAACAAGAAAAAUUGAAAUUAAUGUUGAAAGAGCACCAGAGAGUAUACAUCCAAAAAGACCAACAUUAAUAUAAAUUUUAGUAAAAUUACUGAACCAUGAAAAGUAAAUGCCUUUAGUUAUCUAAACAAAAACUAAUUACUUAAAAGGGAAAGAAAAUUAGAUCAUCACCAGACUUUUCAACAGCAUUGCCUUAUGCUUUAAGAAAGUGUUGUACCACAUUUGAUAUCCUGAUGGAAAAAAAUGUGAGCCAAGGAUUUUACACCCAACAAAACUUAAUGGUGAAUAUAAAGGCAUAAACCAAUAUAGAAUGCAAAAACUUGGGAAAUAUUGUUUUCCAAAGCCUUUCCUAAGUAAUCUACAAAAGAACAAGCUUUAAACAACCAGAAAGACUAGAAAGUCAUCAAUAAAAGGAUUGGAGAACAUUAAACUUGUAGAACUAAAACAAAAUGAGAGUUAAAAAAGAAAGAGUAUAGGUAUAUGCUAAACUAUUUCAGUAGUUUUGGCAGUGGUUGUAUUAGUAUUGUUAUUCUGAAGAUGUGAAAUAAUGCAAACGCAUAAUAAAAAAUGUCAUCUGGU